GCAUUUGCGCUGCUCCGAACACCGUCUCCCGGAGCACAACCGGAACGGAAAACAGCUCCUCACCCCGUCUCGCCUCGCCCGGCACCGCCCCCGCCUCCUCCCUGCUCCCAGUGGCGGACGCGAGUGCUGUAGAUGAGACCUCCCCGGCGUGUCUGGAGAAUGAGUUGAUGUAAUAAACUGUCUAUGGACCAUCAGUGGAAAAUACUGGGUAGAAACCAAUGUGUUCUGGAUCUGGAUCAGUGAUUUGGCGAUGGUCAAACGCCAGUCUUCCAAUGUUUUUGUGGACAGACUUGCAUACAGAAGGCACAGCAACAGAGUGAUGACUGCGUGCCAAGUGCCAGCUGCCCUUAUUCACCAGAUUCAAGAAGAACUGGAUAAAGAAGAAGAAGAGAUGAUGGUUUUCUUGUGCCGAGACCUUGCUCCUGACUUGGCCUCUGCCGAUCUUAGAGAGAUCUUGGCAGCUUUGAAUGAGAGGGAGAAACUGUCUCCUGUUGGCUUGUCUGAGCUGCUAUACAGAGUUAAAAGGUUUGACUUACUGAGGAGGAUCUUGAACACUGAGAAAGCAACAGUGGAAGCUCACCUUACCAGGAGUCUCAGACUUAUCCCUGAUUACAGGGUGCUAAUGGUAGAAAUAAAUGAGAAUCUGGAAAAAGAGGAAGUGGGUUCUCUUCUUUUUCUACUUAGAGAUUAUACACCUCGGAUGAAAAUGGCAAAAGAUAAGAGUUUUCUAGCUCUUGUAAUUGACCUGGAGAAACUAAAUUUGGUGGCUCCUAAUCAACUGGAUUUGAUAGAAAACUGUUUUCAAAGUAUUCACAGGAUAGAUUUGAUUAGGAAGAUUCAGAACUACAAACACAAAGCUUUAAUGUCCUCCGUUCAUUCUCAGCCAGUGUAUGUAAAUGCACGCCAGGCAUCUCUCACUAAUCUCAAUCUAAUUGAUCCUCCUUACAAUUCAGGGAUUCAGAAUGGGAGCAAAGAAAAAUUACAAAAUGGACUAAAUCUAACCCUGGCAGAACCAGUUCCCAUGUCCAUUCAGGAAUCGGGAUCAGCGUCACAUAAGGGGACUGAUGAACCUUACAGAAUGCAAAGUCAACCUUUAGGAAUAUGCCUGAUCAUAGACUGUAUUGGCAAUGAUGCAGAUGUGUUGGAAGAGACCUUCAGAGGCUUGGGCUAUGAUGUUCAUUGUCACAGAUAUUUAAAUAUUGCCACCACGAAGCAAACAUUGCUUGACGUGUCAAGGUUGCAGCAGCACAGAAAUUAUGACAGCUUCAUUUGCAUAUUGGUCAGCCGUGGAAGUCAUCAGGGCAUCUUCUGUACAGACGUUACCUGCUCUGGAUUCCCUUUGGAACAAAUAAAAAAUUACUUCACACCAGACUCAUGUCCUGGACUCCUAGGAAAACCAAAGCUUUUUUUUAUUCAGAGCUACAUUGUGCCAGAAAAUGAGCAAGAAUGUACUAGUCUGUUGGAAGUAGAUGGGAAUGAUAAAAAUAUCGUUACUAAAGUCAUUAUCCCCCGAGGAGCAGACAUCUUUUGGAGUCAUUGUAAGGUGGAUGUGUCUACACUAGAAAAAUCCUCAACUUCAUGCUCAUAUUAUCUGCAUUGUCUGGCUGAGCUACUCCGUGAUCCUUACAUAAGGAAACUCCCUAUAUCAGAUAUCCAUACAGAACUGAAUGGAAAAGUUUAUAAAUGGAAUGAGACCGCUGACCCAUGCCAACAAUACUCACUUCUGCUCCAACACACACUGACGAAAGAACUUUUUCUUUUUCCCACUUAACUGCUCUUGGAAAGGACGUCUGAAGUUUCUAACAAGAAGUAUUUAAUAUGAUCCGAACAGUUUCACACAUACUUUUACUUUAUGCAUUUUAUUUCAUGUAUAUCUAAAGUGCCUGUUGCUUCCAAACCCAAGAAUUUGGAAGCAUUUUUGUGCGUUAAGACACUAGAUUUUAUAUUUUAGCGAAGUCUCUGAAAGCUUGGGUGAGAAUGGUAGCUAUUGUAUAGCACUGCAACAGAUCUUGCAACUAAAUACAACAGCUUUUGCAUGUGAUGAGCACUUCUACCUUAUAGACAACCAAAAGCAGGGAGAAUGGAACUGAGAGGAGGCAGAUAAGGAAAACAAAUAUGGAAAAUGUAAGCAGGAACAAAAAGGGGAAUGGUAGGGAGCAUCAAGAGAAGAACAGGUAGGGAAAAGAUGAUUUGGAGGAGAAAUAUAGUAUCAAUAUUCGUAGGAGAAGAAAACAGGAAAAAGGGCGUAGGCUGCAUCAAGUUGUACCUGUAUUGCGGACAGAGUAAUUAAAUGAUUUCAGGUUAAAUGAUUCAGUAGCCAAAAGGGGAAGAGAAUGAAUUCUGGAGCCAUCAUGAGUUCAAGGUGCUAGCACAGGAACAUAAAAAGCGACAUGCUGGUGAAGUUUCAUGGUCUUGGACUGCCAAAAUGUCUAGUUUUCAGAAACUGCUGUUUAACAAGGUGAAACAAGUCACUCUGCUCCUGCAUUGUCAUUGCUUGGAAUAUGGCUGUCAGAUUCACUGCUUCGUGGCACUUAAUUUCAGUUUUGGUUUCUGGUAACUGGAAUAGAAAUUUCUUGUAGUUCUGUAUGUGCUAUAGAUGUGGAAGAGGGGAAAGAAAAUUGGCAGAAUAUAAAUGAUGCCUUUUGAUGGCUCAGAAGGUGUACUCAUGAGGCAGGAGAUUCUGUGGUGUGUUGUACCAGACUUAAUGUGCAUGAUUUUUCUCAGCCACUUACGUUGACAUGGCUGAGCCAUAAAUGGAGUUUACUUUGUACUGUUACAUACUUGUGUAUUACGAUGUUUGCCAGCUCAUUAUCCAAAAAAGAAGUUAAGUUCAAGAGGUGCUAGGACAUGGUAGCAGUUGUAGAUGGAGCAUGUUGUAUGUCUGAUCUCCCUUUUCAACUCUGCAUGACAGGUGACUUCUGUUACAGAUACCUUUUGAGAUACAGAUACCUUACAGAGAAGCCUUUUGAGAGCUUUUGUGAAUUCUUUUCUGCUGUCUGGAGUUUUAAGUUUCUGACAUGCCAGAUGAUAUUGCUGAGAAGAGGCUGCUAUAUGUAUGGAUGUUCUAACUAUGGUCCAUUUAAAAUAAAUCUACUGUACUGAAUUAUUUAACAGCUUUUCUGUGGCUGUUUUGAAGAAUGUCUAUUUUUCAGCUUCUGUAUUAGAAUCAAGAAGACAUUGCACGCCAAUCCAAAUGGUGGAUUUCAAGCUGAUUUUCUGAAUAAAAUUUUUGGAUGCAGUCA